UUUUUUAUUACUAACCAACCUCUUAUUCUUUUAUAAUUGUCUCUUUGUAAGCAAUGGUAUGGCUCCUACCACCUUCUUCUAAGCAAGUUUCAAUCAAAGCUCUUCAUUUUGAUCUUCUAAAAGUAGCUAAAGCAACUCUUACAAUCUUAACUCUAUCACUUAAAUAAACAAUUCUAUUUUCUUUUUCUAAAGUUAUUCUUUUGAUUCUUUUCAAUUCUACUUAAUUAUGUUUGAAUUAUCUCAAAAGCUCAUUGGCUAAUAAACUUUAAUAAAUUCAUACAAUCCAUUCUAAAAAUAUUUUCUUUGUCACCCUAUUCAAAUCUUCUAUAAAAAUAAUCUACCUUUAGUACUUGCAUAAAUAUUUUCUAAUUUUUUCUAUCACUUUUUUUCAAUUCAUUCAUAUAUCUACAAAUUUCAAGAACCAUGACAAGUUCAAAACUCUCAAUCAUCUUUUUCUCCAAAAUCUUAUUCAACUCCAACUCUCUUAUAUAAACUUGAAUAUGCUUUGAAACAUCUUGUCUAUCAAAUUGAUCUACUUUAUUAAUAAUAGAAUGGAAUAUCUUUGUUGCUAAAUUUUUCUUUUAAUGCUCAAUAUUUUUUUGACACAUAUAUAAACUAAAAGCCUAAAAUAUUCUCAAAGU
rnacentral:lncRNA from 1 species